rnacentral:rRNA from 1 species
CAGUCGCCGCGGUAAUACGUAGGUGGCAAGCGUUGUCCGGAAUUAUUGGGCGUAAAGGGCUCGCAGGCGGUUUCUUAAGUCUGAUGUGAAAGCCCCCGGCUCAACCGGGGAGGGUCAUUGGAAACUGGGAAACUUGAGUGCAGAAGAGGAGAGUGGAAUUCCACGUGUAGCGGUGAAAUGCGCAGAGAUGUGGAGGAACACCAGUGGCGAAGGCGACUCUCUGGUCUGUAACUGACGCUGAGGAGCGAAAGCGUGGGGAGCGAACAGGAUUAGAGACCCGCGUAGUCCCUGUCUCUUAUAC